UGCGUAGGCGGAUCAGUAAGUCAGUGGUGAAAUCUUUCGGCUCAACCGGGAAACUGCCAUUGAUACUGUUAGUCUUGAGUUCGGCUGAGGUAGGCGGAAUGUGUAAUGUAGCGGUGAAAUGCUUAGAUAUUACACAGAACACCAAUUGCGUAGGCAGCUUACUAGACCGACACUGACGCUGAGGCACGAAAGCGUGGGGAGCGAACAGGAUUAGAUACCCUGGUAGUCC
rnacentral:rRNA from 1 species